rnacentral:rRNA from 1 species
UACGUAGGGGGCGAGCGUUGUCCGGAUUCAUUGGGCGUAAAGCGCUUUAAGGCGGUUCGGUAAGUCGGGUGUGAAACCUCCAGGCUCAACCUGGAGACGCCACUCGAUACUGCUGUGACUAGAGUUCGGUAGGGGAUCACGGAAUUCCUGGUGUAGCGGUGAAAUGCGCAGAUAUCAGGAGGAACACCGGUGGCGAAGGCGGAUCUCUGGGCCAUUACUGACGCUGAGGAGCGAAAGCGUGGGGAGCGAACAGG